UCCCUUCAAGGCAUUCAUCUUCCUGAAUCCAAUUUCAUACAAAUGACUACAUGAGAAACAUUUAAAACACGGGCUACAUUUUCCCAAGUUUAUGAAUCAUCAACACUAUGGAGUGACCAUUAACUAAAUGCUUCCACACUUCUGAAAUCUCAAAGUAAAAAAGAACUCUUUGGUUGUGACAGAAAAUUAUCCAAGUAAAAAAGGUAUCUUUUCUUAUCAUUCGAAGGAGGAAAAAAAGGGGGGGUAAUAAAGCAAUGAACUUUAACCCUAGAGGUAAACCUGGCAGUUAUUAUGGCCUUUGAUCAUAGAAUUAACCAUUGUAAUGGUCAAUCUGGCCUGAAUUUCAUCUGAUAAAACUGUCUGAAUAGACACUCUGGUAACUUUGUCAAAUUGUAACAUAGCAAAGAACAAAGUUAGUACUUUAUCACCUUGAGUCAAUUAAGGAUAGAGGGGCUAUUCUAACAAGUUUAUUUACCAAUCAAAUGCCUACAGGUCGUAAUCUGGACUCUGCAAAUAGCAAAGUCUUACAAUCAGUUCAGAGACUCUGCAGCCAAGAAGAAAAGCUCUUCCAGGACAUUUAGGAUUGGACUUCUCACGAGAAUAAGAAAAAUAUUCUUCAUAUUUAAUCAGCCAAGCAGAAACCCCUAAGAAGAAAGUUUUAUAAAGACUGAAAAUGGAUGGGAAAAUGCAGGUGUUUGUUACAAUCUAGUGGUGAGCUGCAUUUCCUGAGUCUCAGCCGAUUUCCCAGCAGGAAUUCCAGUCUGAUGAAGAAUCAGCAAAAGGAAGCCCUCACUGAGAGACACACUGGUAUCAUUCACUGAGUGGAGACAGUGAAAGAGUAACAUAUUUCUAAAGGCAAUUGAGAUUCUUAGUACAUAUGCUCACAAAGUAAAUACAGAUUUACCUUCCCAUGACAGAAGCAAUGAUUAAUUUCCCUUGAAAACCUGACUGCUUUUUCUACAAAGCAUUUGGUUUUACCCUACUUACCACUUUGUGAUGAUUUUCAUUCACCACAGUUCAUCCCUUAACUGCCUUUUUAUCACUGUUAUCACCUCCCAAAGCUGUGAAAAUCAAAUCUGGAAAUCUAGUGUAACCUAUACAGCAAUAUUUUUGUUAAACAAAAGGAAAUGAACAUUUAAUACUUUGAAGAAAAACACGUUUUCUUUCUUUCAUUUCUCUAAGUAGGCUCCAAGCCCAAUGUGGGGCUUGAACUCACGACUCCAAGAUCAAGAGUUGCACGCGCCACCAACUGAGCCCACUGGGCACUCAAGAAAAACAUGUUUUCUCAAAUGUCUUUAACACAGCAGUUCACAAGGAAUCAAUCAUUUGAAUACAGUUCUAGCAACUGUCUUAGAAAGUAAUAUAACUUUUAAAACAUUAUGGUUUAUAUACUUUUCAUGGAUAAUUCUGAAUUGUAAGACUUAUAUUUAUUGCUCUAGAUAGCAAUGUCAACACCGGACCAACAACCACACAUACCUUUUUAAGUUUAAAAUUAAGUUAAUAAAAAUAAAAAUAAAAUAAAAAAUUUAGUUUCUCAGUUGCACUAGCACCAUUGUAAGUAUAUAAUAGCCACUUGUGGCUAGUGGUUACUGUAUUGGACAGCAUAGACCUAGAACAUUUACACUGCUGCAAAAAAAAAAAAAAUCUAUUGGACAGCACAGUUCUAAAUAAAGCAUCUAAAGAGAGAGAUUUAUGGUUAAAAGGGCUUACCUGGCCUAAGGAGGUGUGGGUGUGUGAAGGGGCUGGGCUGGCCUAAGUAUCGGUUUGGAAUUCUCCUCUCUGGGAUGGGCUGGAGCGAGUACCAUCGCUGAGAACAUGACAUGAAUCCUGAAGGAAAAAUAAAGAGAGUAGAAUGGAACAAUAAUCAAGAAAGUCCUCACAGUGUAUAUACAUUUAUCGAUCUCUAGCAGUUGGAUGCUCUAGAAAAAUGCAAAUUAGUAUCUCCUUCAAUAUUUAUAUGGCCCUCCCUCUGUGCCAGUCAGAGCCUGUCUUGGGCCCUGGGAAAACAGAAAUGAGAUCAUUUUUACCCUUAGUGACUUCAGUCUACUAUAGUAUAAUAGAGGUACAUAUAUACAGAAUAGGACUAUGGUAUGAAUAAGGAACUAUGGGAACAGAAGGAAGGCAACAAACAAAAGCAAGGAAGGGGUUAGGAAGUAUUUCACAGAAAUACUGUGUCCUAAAAUUCAGAAAAAGCUGUAUCCUAAAAUUCAGAAAAAGAGAGUUAACAUUUUUACUGAGAAUAUAUGAAGUACAAAAAAAAACAUGAUAUCUCAUUGAAUCUUGGAAUGUUAGAGGUAGAUAAAAUAAGGUAUAAAAAUGCUUUAUCAUAGUAUACAACACACUAUUAGCAUUCAUUCAGUAAGAUUAAGCAUGUGACUGGAACACAUGCUAGAAGAAGACAAAAGAAUGAGGACUAUAUGCUCUGGUCUUUAAAGAAUAUACAGUCUAGUGGAGGUGAGACAAAACAUUCAAGCACUACAUGGUGAACACCAUGGUGGAUUCAUUCACAAGGUCUUUUGAGAGCACAAAGACUGAAACAAUACUGUGGGAUGGGUGCAAUAUGAUAUAGAUACAGAUACAGUGCUCUGAGGAACACAGAGACGCACACAAAGGGGUGUUGGUGUGGGACUCUAGAGGUAGGGGAUGCCUGCUCUGAAUAAGAAUUAGUCGAGGGCAUCUGGCUGGUUCAGUGGGUAGAGCAUGCAACUUGAUUUCGGGGUUUUAAGUAAGAGCCCCAAGCUGGGUGUAGAGAUUACUUAAAAAUAAAAUCUUAAAAAAAAAAAAAAAAAGGAAUAAGCCAAGUGAAAGAGAAAGAGGGGUGUUGAAGGUAUCAUAAAUGAGAUUACAAAAGGGAAGUCAUAGAAGGCACUGGGUAUGUGCGUACAUACAUGCAUGUGUGUAUGUGUGUGUGUGUGUGUGUGUGUGUAGGGGGAAGAGAGUUUCAGGUCAGUGUUGAUGGAGGAAGAAAAGAUUAGAAAGGUAAGGAUCAGACCAUUGAAAGCUUUGUAUACCAAAUUAAGGAAUUAGGAUUUUAACUGCCAUCAUCAUUGCUUUUUUACAAAAAAGGAAUCAGACUCAGAGAAGUAAUUUGUGCAAUGUUACAGUUAGUAAUGAGGAAGCUAGGAUUCAAGCCUAAAUUUAUUAAACUUUGAAAUCUUUGUUCUUAUCCCUCCAUCCUGCUGCUCAGUAGGUGUUCUCUGCUGAUCCCAAAAACAGAAUCAGUACUGUAAAAUCUCCUUGUGAACCUACAAUCGCUACAAUGGUAGAAUGUGAUGUCUGGAUCAAGUUAAAGGUUUUUGUAGGUACUAUGUAGUAUGAAUGAAUGAGGUGUAUAUAUUUGAUGAGUUAAGAAUCUUAAAUGUUAACUCUGAAUUAAAUUUUCAGAGGAUUACUGAAAAAAAUUAUAGCUUUUUGGAUGAUUAAAAAUACAGAAAAUGGCAAAAGUUUCUAGGCAGUAUGAAAAUACAGUUAAAAAUUGUGAAAAAAUAAGAAAAAGGACAAAACAA